AGAUUUUAUCAACGAAAUUAACUUUUUAUUACUGACAGAUUUACUGAUAGAAUUGUUAAAAUUCGUUGGUAAUGUAGUUUACAUUUAUCGAAGGAUAAAUCAGUUGGUAAAUGGGUGGAAAUUUUCCCGUUCCUUAUUUUAAUUACCAAAGGAAAAAUUCGUUAAUAAGUCUGUUGAUAAAUGAGUGGGAAUUUUUCCGCUCAUUUUUUCUCUUUGCUUGCGAGUAAGGUGCAUUAUAUAUUCCUUUUUCUCUCAUUUCUUUCUUAUUUGCGCGAGGAAGUUACUUCUUUUCCUACUUCUCCAUCUUCUACUCCAUCCUUUUCUUCUCUUCACUCCAUUGCAGUUACAAACCAAGAUUGUCUCAUCUCCGUUCAAUAAGGUUGUUGUUUCGUUCAACUGCCUCCAUCCUGCUUCUCUACAACCACUGCCAGCACCGUCCAAUGUCUCUUUUCUUUCCCUUUCAUGCUUCAGUUAUUGCCACCACUCUGCAACACCAAUUUUUCCCACUGUAACGAUUUUGAAGAAGAACGAUUGAUAAAAAUG
rnacentral:lncRNA from 1 species